rnacentral:rRNA from 1 species
CCCCUAGAUGUUCUGGGCCGCACGCGCGCUACAAUGAACAGUUCAACAAGUCUUAACCUUGGCCGAUAGGUCUGGGUAAUCUUUGAACGCUGUUCGUGAUUGGGAUAGACCUUUGCAAUUAUGGGUCUUCAACGAGGAAUUCCUAGUAAACGCAAGUCAUCAGCUUGCAUUGAUUACGUCCCUGCCCUUUGUACACACCGCCCGUCGCACCUACCGAUUGAAUGGUCCGGUGAAAUCUCGGGACGGCGGCUUGGUCGCUUGCGUCCGACUGCUGAAACUUGAUUAAACCAUAUCAUUUAGAGGAAGGUGAAGUCGUANCA